CGGAGCAUGUGGUUUUAAUUCGAAGCAACGCGAAGAACCUUACCAGGUCUUGACAUCCUCUGACAAUCUGAGAGAUCAGACUUUCCCUUCGGGGACAGAGAGACAGGUGGUGCAUGGUUGUCGUCAGCUCGUGUCGUGAGAUGUUGGGUUAAGUCCCGCAACGAGCGCAACCCCUGUGGUUAGUUGCCAUCAUUUAGUUGGGCACUCUAAGCAGACUGCCGUGGAUAACACGGAGGAAGGUGGGGACGACGUCAAAUCAUCAUGCCCCUUAUGACCUGGGCUACACACGUGCUACAAUGGUCUGAACAGAGGGCUGCGAAACCGCGAGGUGAAGCUAAUCCCUUAAAACAGAUCUCAGUUCGGAUUGCAGGCUGCAACUCGCCUGCAUGAAGUUGGAGUUGCUAGUAAUCGCAGAUCAGAAUGCUGCGGUGAAUGCGUUCCCGGGUCUU
rnacentral:rRNA from 1 species